UACGUAGGGGGCGAGCGUUGUCCGGAGUUACUGGGCGUAAAGGGCGCGCAGGCGGUCUGGCAAGUUUGGAGUGACAGUGUUCGGCUUAACUGAGCAAGGCCUUCGAAAACUGCUAGACUUGAGCACUCAAGAGGGACAUAGAAUUCCGGGUGGAGUGGUGAAAUGCGUAGAUAUCCGGAGGAAUACCAAAGGCGAAGGCAGUGUCCUGGGGAGUGUCUGACGCUCAGGCGCGAAAGCUAGGGGAGCGAACAGG
rnacentral:rRNA from 1 species